CCAUAGUGUAUACUUUGGAAGCACACAAAUUAAAAGAACACAGAGAUUACCAUGGCCCCUGUAUAUAGAUAACAUGCAAAUUUAUGAAGUUUUCCAUGUUUUA
ensembl:snRNA U6 U6 spliceosomal RNA